rnacentral:misc_RNA from 1 species
GAUGAAGAACGUAGCGAAAUGCGAUACUUGGUGUGAAUUGCAGAAUCCCGUGAACCAUCGAGUCUUUGAACGCAAGUUGCGCCUCAAGCCAUUAGGUUGAGGGCACGUCUGCCUGGGCGUCACAUAUCGUUGCCUGAUGCCAGUUUCCUCGUGUUGGGUGACUGUGCAGGGCGAAUGAUGGCUUCCCGUGAGCAUUGUUGCCUCAUGGUUGGUUGAAAAUUGAGUCCUUGGUAGGGAGCGCCGUGAUAGAUGGUGGUUGAGUGACGAACGAGACCCAAUCAUGUGAGACCCCUACCGAAUUUGGCCUUCAUGACCCACAUGCGUCUUUGGAACGCUCAUGACGAGACCUCAGGUCAGGCGGGGCUACCCGCUGAGUUUAAGCAUAUCAAUAAGCGGAGGA